rnacentral:lncRNA from 1 species
GGGGCUAAAAAUUUAAUUUAACCAUCCAAUUGAUUGGCUGGGGGUGUCUAUAGCUCCGUAUUAUUAAAUAAAAUAUGUAAAAAAAAAUUAAUUGAAAGAGUGUAUCGAAAGAUAUACUUCCGUACUGAAAUUUAAGUUUAAAAAGAAGAUCUAGAAGGUCAAAGUUCAGUCUAACCAUCCAAACAAUUGGCUGAGGGUAUCU